AUUCUUUUAGUAUUAAUAAGUACAGUUGACUUCCAAUCAACCAGUCUUGGUGUAACCCAAGAAAGAAUA
rnacentral:tRNA from 1 species